ACAAGUGCUUGUUUGACAGUAGACAAGUCAAUAACCAAAUCUGAACCACCAAAGAAGUUCCUCAGAUUUAAACCUGUAUAUUUUGUAUGAAUUGGAAACUGUGGUGAUUUGUAAUUUUUGGUCUUAUUUUGUUAACUUCCUGUGUGACCACUUCCUGUGUGGAGUUUUUGUUCUCUCUUUACAGAGAUUGGGCGUCUUCACCUGCACUGACUCUCCUCAAUCCUGCACACCUGAUACUCAUCACUGCAAUCACCACCCUGCUCUUAAGCUGUGCUCUGUGCCUUCACCAGUGCCAGAUGAUUCCCGCUUUCACAGUGUGCCUCCACGAGCUGUCAGUGCUAGCACAAUCUCUGCCACACUGCCGCACUCUCACUCCGGAUUCACCAGCCUCCCCCCUCUUCACCUCACGCCUGGAGCUCUCACGUCCUUGGAUUCCUCUCUCACCUCUGGACCUCAACCCCCCCCCCACUGCCUGUUUACCCUACAAUAAAUCCCUUUAACUGCU